rnacentral:misc_RNA from 1 species
UCGUUUCUCGUUCUAGCCAUGGCGAAACGCACAGUGAAGAUGGGUGUGAUGGGCCGCUACGGCACCCGUUACGGCGCAAACCCGCGCAAGCGCGCGAAGAAGCUUGAAGUGUCCCAGCACGCCAAGCACUUCUGCUCCUUCUGCGGUAAGUUUGCAUUCCGCCGCAAGGCUGUCGGCAUCUGGCGUUGCGACGGCUGCAGCAAGACGGUUGCCGGUGGUGCGUACACCCUGAGCACUCCCAACAACAGCACCGUCCGCUCCACGGUCCGCCGUCUGCGCGAGCUGGCCAAGAUUUAAGCCGGCUGUGAGACGAGAAACGUGCCGCCCCGGAGGACGCGAGGCUGGGGGAACCAUCCUUCGCAACGGUGGUGCUAGCGGUGGUGGUGGCGUGAGCGCAGCGUGAGAGGGAAUCGGCGUUAAGUCUGUGUGCGCGUAUGCUUCACGUAUCGCGUGCUCUCUCCCUCUCUCACCCCUCUUUUCUUUUCGCAGGUCCUUUCCCCUCAUACUCUCGCUCUGUUAUGCCACCGGAUGCUUGGAAGGCGUCCCCUCCGUGUGCAGUGCGGGCGCCACGAUACACGUCUUUUUUUCUUUUUUUUUUUGCUUUGCUCUCUCUCGUCGACGAGGUGAAAAGAGCAGGAAAAAACGACCGCAACGCCAUGACAAACGAACACACGCACUCACACACCUUGAUGUGUUCUCUGAGAUAUGCCCAUGGCAGGUGAAGGAGCUUCGCAGGCGGAACGGGCGGGUAAGCGCAGAUGUGUGAGCCCAUGGUUGCUAUGCCUCUGGGCUCCCUUCGUUGUUGCCUUCGCUGCGCGUUUGGGUCUACGCCGCUUCUCACGUGUGUGUGGCGUGGCUUAGCGUCGCCGCUGCUCUUGCACAACCUACCUGCGUGUGCCUCUCUCCGCUGUAAGGCAGAGAGCGCAGAAGGAAGGAGCUGUCAAGCGUGUGACACACGUGGGGCACUAGAGGGCGCGCAUGCAAUGUAGCCUGCAGCGCAUCCGGCCGAACAGGCGGUUGUGCCAGUCUGCUUCCGCCUGCUCUCCUGCUUCACUCUCCCUUUCCUCUUUCCUCUUUCUCCUGACAUCUUCGCUACGCCUGCGCGUGCGUUGGACUGCCAUGCAG